CCGGACGGGGCCGGGCAGGUGGCGCGGGCAGCGGCGGUGUCGUGCGCCGGGAGGAACCGGCAGAAAGUAGGUCACCGCCGCCGAUGCGCGGCUACCGGCCGGGGGUGGCCCCGGCCGCGGAGUCCUGCCGGGACCGGCCCGUCCUCCCUCCGUGCGGAGCGAGGCCCGGCCCCGGCUGCCCCGACGGACCCGCAGCCGUUCUGCGCUCCCCGCCAGGAGCGCGGCACCGGCUCCUUGCGCAGCACGAGCUGUGCCCUGACGGGAUUAGUCAUCCCCUAUCUAACCGCGAGGCUUGGGAUCACGCAAACGAAAAGGAAAGAGGGGAAGAGAGAUGACAAAGAGGAAGAAGCAGCCUUGCCUUGGUCCGGAGCGGCUGUUCCUGCGCGGGUUCCGCGGUGGCUCCGGGCAGGGAGCGGAGAGCGGCAGCGGCAGCGCCCACCCGGCGCUCGCCAUCGGAGGGUGCGGGCGAGGCCGGCGGGAGCCCCGAUCCCGGCUCUGCCCAAGGCAGGGACACAGAGUUAAUUGUGUCAGUGCUAUUGCACAACACUGUUGCCUUGACACUGUGUCAUGUAAAGAUUUUAAACUGCCUCUUUAUUAGUCAUCCUCUAUUCAUUUUAAUUGUGCCUGAUAAGCAGGGCCAUUUCACCUUUGUGUUUUCUGUUCGAGCUUAUCGUGCGUAUUUAUGUCGCCCAAGAGACUUUCAAUCUCUUCCUGUAGCGUUGGUAGAUGCAGAGGAAUGAGGAGGCAUUGCCAUCACAGCCUGCUGGGUUCUCACCUGUUUGCUUGCUACCUUUUCAGAGCCCUGCUCUCCCGGUGAGGGCAUCUCCACGGGUCCUUGAUCCUGGCACCAAAAAUGCUCCAGCAGAGGCUUAGGUUAAUGCAUAGGAACCAGUAAGAAGGGAUAGGCUGAUUGAAACAUGCACCUAAUUUUUUUUCAGGAUCAAGUGCUGUAGGUGUGUGCUUAACACCGCAGGACUCACUUUGAUCUUCUCCCAGGAUAGAAUUUUCUAUGGAUUAAAUUCUUGCCUCUGAAUUAGGGUAUUGGUUAUUUAACAAAAUCAAAGCUGGGAGAUGAAUAACUAAUUAUUGGAUUUAAUGCAAAGAAUACAGUGAAAGUUUAUGGAGUAUUUUAAUCUCACUUACUUGCAACAUAAAAAUAUACUGCCUGAGAGUUUACCCGUGUGAACUCUGUCCCUGAAAUUCUUUAUCUAGCCUUAUCUUUGUCAAGUCUGAAGUUUCACUGAAAGUUCCUGGAAAUAGAGCAUUGUCCCUUCUGUGGCAUUAUGACCUUCUCCUCACCUCAAACAUCCCCAGAGUCUGGUGUGGGAGGAGGAAGGGCCCUUUGGCCAGGGACAGUGCUGCCCACCUGUAGGAGCAGUGCAGGUGGCACAGCUGCUGCCCCAGGAGCUGGAGCACUGCUGGCACUGCAGGGACUGUUUGCUUAGAGCACACAUCUGCUUCAGGAAGGUUAUCAGAGCCCUUCUUCACCUGGAGAUGGAUCUAUUCACUGGCUUUAUUUAGUUUCACCUUAAUUGUCCCCGUUUAAAAAGGCUCAAAGGUAGAGUUCAGGUUUGAGCCAGAAUCAUGUGAGGAGAUGGGUAAAAUCCCAUUCUCAAUUAAGUUCAGAAAAAGGAACAGAAACACCAUUAAAGGCAGAACCAAAAACACAUUUACUCCAGUGUGAACAGUAUUUCCCCCCUAGCAUAAGAUCUUGCAUUCCUGUGGGCUGAAAUGAGCUACUCACUGUCCUACCCAGCAUCUUCAAGGGCCACUUGGGAUAUUAUGCAACUGCUUAAAAGGAUGAUGAACAUACAUGAAAAAGUUAAUCACCAUUUAGGACAAAAUUCCACCUAAGCUUUUGAGAACCAACUGGAAUAUUUUCAUUUCCAUCAUCCAGGACCUUAUUUUGUAGAAAAUGUUUAAGAUAGUUCGUAUAGAGGCAACAGAAGUACCCAAAUUUUGUGUGCAUUUAAGGCACUGUAUUGCCUUGUGCUGGAGUAAUACCUUGGCCAGAUAAAUGAACAUAUUUAUUUGAAAAGCUGAGAAGUGCCCAAGUCAUAUUUUUGGCCCAGAAAAAGAUUAAAGAAUACUUUUCAUGUGGCUGAUCGUACUUCCAAAAAUAAUUAUUAUUUUUGAAAAGAAAUAAAGUGUUCUGACUUAACUGCAGUAAAAUAUUCUCUGAUAAGUAUUCUUGUGAUCUGUUAUUCUGCCUAACUCGAAGAAGGGAGGGGGGAAACUUGCACAAACAAGAGCAUGUCUGCCUUCUCCUGCCCAUAUUCUUACAUGAGAGCAUACAAGCUAAAGCUAAAGCUCCUUGACCACAUUUUAACUUGAUCCCACAGGAUAAUGUACCUAUGAAUUAAUUUUCUUUGAUGCUUGGUUCAUUUCUUCUGGAGACUGUGCUGAAGACAAAUUCAGACUGCUGCAUUUAAACAUGGGUUAAGUCACCUCUGAUUAGUAUAAUCAGCUAUCAAGGAGCCUCUUGAACAGGGACAUAAAAUAGAAACUUAAUAAUAAUUAUGUUAAAGGCACAAAUCCCACUGAAUUCAGCCGGCAGAGGACAAAUGAGCAGAGGGAGCACGAGGCAACAGCAGCAGCUGCAGUAUUGUCCUUGGAUGGAGCACAGAGGAAGAACAGAAAAGUCAGGGCAGAAUUACUGUCCAUCAUCUGCAAGUGCAUCCUUCCUAAUAAAUCAGUGGUUACUACUUAGCACAUUGAUAUUUGAAUAAACAUUGAUAUUUCCUAUUAA